UUUUUUUUUUUUUUUUCAGAAUAAACCCGUAGUAAAUUUUACCAUAUUUGGAACAGUCUACAUCGCCAGUCAAUACACUAUAUCGUAAAUCGAGUCAUUCAAUUUGAUAACGGUUACAUAGUGACACCUCCAAAUAAGGAAAUCCGAUAUCACGGUUCGUACAUAUUCGGGCAUGCGUAGUCAGUGUGUAAACCAAGCUUGCAACAGCUGAAAAACUGGGACAUGUGUUUUGGAUAUAUUAACCUCAAAUAUCCGGCUGUAUAAUUGUAACAGCAUCAUUGUUAAAGGUAUAACUGACACAGUGGCACGCACGGGGAUUGUAGGAAUAUGUGAUAUUGUACAGCAUCGAAAAACAGCAACAACAACAACAAGUCUUGAUAUGCAGAGAAAAUAAGAUUCUGCAAUGGCGCUGUUGUCUGUCGUUUCUAUUCUGAGAAUAUCUGUCAGUUUCAACACGAAGUUUAUGAGAUGCAAGCCUUAAUCGCGCCAAAGCAACACAAUAUUUGCUGGGUAAUACACUUAAAUAACAUUCAAAUUCAAUGAAAGGAAUG